GCCGGGCAUGGUGGUGCACGCCUGUAAUCCCAGCUGCUUGGGAGGCUGAGACAGGAGAAUUUUGAGUUCAAAAAGCCAGCCUCAGCAACAGCGAGGUGUUAGCAACUCAGUGAGACCCUGUCUCUA
rnacentral:sRNA from 1 species